AUUGAACGCUGGCGGCAUGCCUUACACAUGCAAGUCGAACGGUAGCGGGCCUUCGGGUGCCGACGAGUGGCGAACGGGUGAGUAAUGCAUCGGAACGUGCCAUUGAGUGGGGGGAUGACGUAGCGAAAGUUACGCUAAUACCGCAUAUUCUGUGAGCAGGAAAGCAGGGGAUCGCAAGACCUUGCGCUGAUUGAGCGGCCGAUGUCAGAUUAGCUAGUUGGUGAGGUAAAGGCUCACCAAGGCGACGAUCUGUAGCGGGUCUGAGAGGAUGAUCCGCCACACUGGAACUGAGACACGGUCCAGACUCAUACGGGAGGCAGCAGUGGGGAAUUUUGGACAAUGGGGGCAACCCUGAUCC
rnacentral:rRNA from 1 species